GCUUGCUGGGUGGAUUAGUGGCGAACGGGUGAGUAACACGUGAGUAACCUGCCCUUAACUCUGGGAUAAGCCUGGGAAACUGGGUCUAAUACCGGAUAGGAGCGUCUACCGCAUGGUGGGUGUUGGAAAGAUUUAUCGGUUUUGGAUGGACUCGCGGCCUAUCAGCUUGUUGGUGAGGUAAUGGCUCACCAAGGCGACGACGGGUAGCCGGCCUGAGAGGGUGACCGGCCACACUGGGACUGAGACACGGCCCAGACUCCUACGGGAGGCAGCAGUGGGGAAUAUUGCACAAUGGGCGCAAGCCUGAUGCAGCGACGCCGCGUGAGGGAUGACGGCCUUCGGGUUGUAAACCUCUUUCAGUAGGGAAGAAGCGAAAGUGACGGUACCUGCAGAAGAAGCACCGGCUAACUACGUGCCAGCAGCCGCGGUAAUACGUAGGGUGCGAGCGUUAUCCGGAAUUAUUGGGCGUAAAGAGCUCGUAGGCGGUUUGUCACGUCUGUCGUGAAAGUCCGGGGCUUAACCCCGGAUCUGCGGUGGGUACGGGCAGACUAGAGUGCAGUAGGGGAGACUGGAAUUCCUGGUGUAGCGGUGGAAUGCGCAGAUAUCAGGAGGAACACCGAUGGCGAAGGCAGGUCUCUGGGCUGUAACUGACGCUGAGGAGCGAAAGCAUGGGGAGCGAACAGGAUUAGAUACCCUGGUAGUCCAUGCCGUAAACGUUGGGCACUAGGUGUGGGGACCAUUCCACGGUUUCCGCGCCGCAGCUAACGCAUUAAGUGCCCCGCCUGGGGAGUACGGCCGCAAGGCUAAAACUCAAAGGAAUUGACGGGGGCCCGCACAAGCGGCGGAGCAUGCGGAUUAAUUCGAUGCAACGCGAAGAACCUUACCAAGGCUUGACAUGUUCUCGAUCGCCGUAGAGAUACGGUUUCCCCUUU
rnacentral:rRNA from 1 species